GAUGAACGCUGGCGGCGUGCCUAAUACAUGCAAGUCGAGCGAACAGACGAGGAGCUUGCUCCUCUGACGUUAGCGGCGGACGGGUGAGUAACACGUGGAUAACCUACCUAUAAGACUGGGAUAACUUCGGGAAACCGGAGCUAAUACCGGAUAAUAUAUUGAACCGCAUGGUUCAAUAGUGAAAGACGGUUUUGCUGUCACUUAUAGAUGGAUCCGCGCCGCAUUAGCUAGUUGGUAAGGUAACGGCUUACCAAGGCAACGAUGCGUAGCUGACCUGAGAGGGUGAUCGGCCACACUGGAACUGAGACACGGUCCAGACUCCUACGGGAGGCAGCAGUAGGGAAUCUUCCGCAAUGGGCGAAAGCCUGACGGAGCAACGCCGCGUGAAUGAUGAAGGUCUUCGGAUCGUAAAACUCUGUUAUUAGGGAAGAACAAAUGUGUAAGUAACUAUGCACGUCUUGACGGUACCUAAUCAGAAAGCCACGGCUAACUACGUG
rnacentral:rRNA from 1 species